rnacentral:rRNA from 1 species
GUGUCAGCAGCCGCGGUAAUACGUAGGUGGCGAGCGUUGUCCGGAUUUAUUGGGCGUAAAGGGCGCGCAGGUGGUGCGGUAAGACUGCCGUGAAAUCUCCUGGCUCAACUGGGAGGGUGCGGUGGAGACUGCCGGACUAGAGGCACUCAGAGGCCGGUGGAAUUCCCGGUGUAGUGGUGAAAUGCGUAGAGAUCGGGAGGAACACCAGUGGCGAAGGCGGCCGGCUGGGGGUGACCUGACGCUGAGGCGCGAAAGCGUGGGGAGCGAACCGGAUUAGAUACCCGCGUAGUCC